CCUACGUGGUGCAGCAGUGGGGAAUAUUGGACAAUGGGCGAAAGCCUGAUCCAGCCAUGCCGCGUGUGUGAAGAAGGCCUUCGGGUUGUAAAGCACUUUCAGUGGGGAAGAAAGCCUUGGGGCUAAUACCCUCGAGGAAGGACAUCACCCACAGAAGAAGCACCGGCUAACUCCGUGCCAGCAGCCGCGGUAAUACGGAGGGUGCGAGCGUUAAUCGGAAUUACUGGGCGUAAAGCGCGCGUAGGCGGUCUGAUAAGCCGGUUGUGAAAGCCCCGGGCUCAACCUGGGAACGGCAUCCGGAACUGUCAGGCUAGAGUGCAGGAGAGGAAGGUAGAAUUCCCGGUGUAGCGGUGAAAUGCGUAGAGAUCGGGAGGAAUACCAGUGGCGAAGGCGGCCUUCUGGACUGACACUGACGCUGAGGUGCGAAAGCGUGGGUAGCAAACAGGAUUAGAUACCCGUGUAGUC
rnacentral:rRNA from 1 species